GCCCGGGUGGUCUAGUGGUAUGAUUCUCGCUUAGGGAUGGCAUCUCGCCUACAAACCCAAGCAUAUCUGCGAGAGGUCCCGCGUUCGAUCCGCGGCUCGGGCC
rnacentral:tRNA from 3 species